rnacentral:lncRNA from 1 species
CAUCUUAAAAUACAUUCAGGGCUAAUCUUACAACCCAAAUGUUUGUAGAGUGGCAACAAAAUAGAAUUUGAAGAAACAAUUAUCAUCAUUGUUGCGUUUAAUAUUUAGGGCUCUUAAAUUUUGUAUGAACAUUAUAUGUUAUGUUAUCAUCCCUUUUUAAUAUUUUUCUUGCUAUGUUAUAAUACUUGUUGUAUUAUGUUAUAAUCCUGUGUUAUGUCA